rnacentral:rRNA from 1 species
AGGAUGAACGCUGGCGGCGUGCCUAACACAUGCAAGUCGAACGUCCUGUCUCGCAAGAGGCAGGGAGUGGCGGACGGGUGAGUACCACGUGGGUUAUCUACCGUGAGGUGAGGAAUACCGGCGAGAAAUCGCCGACAAGACCGCAUAGCCUCGGUGCAAGCCGAGGAAAGCUUUCUCGAGAGAGGGAGCGCCACACGAGGAGCCUGCGCCCGAUUAGCUAGCUGGUGGAGUAACGGUUCACCAGGGCGACGAUCGGUAGCUGGUCUGAGAGGACGAUCAGCCACACUGGGAUUGAGAACGGCCCAGACUCCUACGGGGGGCAGCAGUGAGGAAUUUUCGCAAUGGGGGCAACCCUGAACGAGCAACGCCGCGUGCAGGAAGAAGGUUUUCGGAUCGUAAACUGCUUUUCUCGGGGAAGAGAACGGACGGUACCCGAGGAAUCAGCCCCGGCUAACUACGCGCCAGCAGCCGCGGUAA